GAGGAAUGUGUCUGCAAGCUCUGAGCUUUCCUUAUCUGCAUGUGUCCCAAGGGCCAAAGCAUGUCCUCCCUCCCUGGGUGCAUGAGUUUGGCUGCAGCGCCAGCUGCAGCUGACUCUGCAGAGAUUGCUGAGCUGCAGCAGGCGGUGGUUGAAGAGCUGGGUAUCUCUAUGGAGGAACUUCGUCAGUACAUUGAUGAGGAACUGGAAAAGAUGGACUGUAUACAGCAGCGCAAGAAGCAGCUCGCAGAGCUGGAGACGUGGGUACUACAGAAAGAGUCUGAAGUGGCUUAUGUUGAUCGGCUGUUUGAUGAUGCAUCCAGGGAAGUGACUAACUGUGAGUCUUUGGUGAAGGAUUUCUACUCUAAGCUGGGACUACAGUAUCAUGACAGUAGCUCUGAGGAUGAAGCUUCCCGGCCCACAGAGAUCAUUGAGAUUCCUGAUGAAGAUGAUGAUGUCCUCAGUAUUGAUUCAGGUAAAUGAUGAAGCUUUGGUCAGAAAAGUCUUAGAAUGGAAGCUGAAAUACUGGAAGACAAGUAUGUUGCACGUAAAGAAUCACAUUGUCAUUACUUACUAUGCCAAAUACCUGACUGACUUAUUAUGACAACAAGUAAGUAUUCUUAGCAUCGUAAGUGUUUUCUGUAUUCUGAUUGCUUCCUUUCCCCAUUUCAGAUAAGGUAUACUUAUUUUCUGUCUUUUCCCCCAUGUGUUUGUGUGUAGUUUGCCUAUGUCUGAGUUUCUUUUUCAGUUAUGGUGAUCAAAUAAUCUGACAAAAUCAUUUGAAGGUUAAGGGGGCUGAUCCUGGUUCCAAGUUCCAGAUCAUAUCCAUGAUGGUCGGGGAAAUCACAGUGGCAAAAGCCUAAAGCAUCUGGUCACAUUGUUCUGCAAUCUGGAAACAGAGGGAGUGUCUCAUCCUGCUGCUCCUCCAAUCACUCUCUUUAUUUGUGUAUUUAUGAAGUCUAUGGAAUGGUACCACUCACAGUGGGCUGGUCCAUGAACACCAUGAAACAUUUAGUAAAUACUUCCCUUGGUAACUUUUUUUUUUGUUUGUUUUGCAUUGUGGUUCUGAUGUGUGCUAUGUAUGUAGUACAUGAAGCAGUAAACUCUAAGCAUCAAGUUACA